AACGAACCGUGCGAACGUUGCUCGGAAUCACUGGGCUUAAAGGGCGCGUAGGCGGUCUGCCAAGUCCGGGGUGAAAGCCUCCAGCUCAACUGGAGAAGUGCCUCGGAUACUGGCGGACUCGAGCGAGGUAGGGGUCGUGGGAACUUCCGGUGGAGCGGUGAAAUGCGUUGAUAUCGGAAGGAACGCCGGUGGCGAAAGCGCACGACUGGACCUCUUCUGACGCUGAGGCGCGAAAGCCAGGGGAGCAAACGGG
rnacentral:rRNA from 1 species